rnacentral:lncRNA from 10 species
CUGCCCUCGGGCCUGGCUCGCCCGCGGGCGGAUGGCUCCGGGUCUCUGCUGCUGAGGAUGUGGCUGCCGGGCGGAGGUCGUCCACUCCCCUGGGCCUUUCUCCGCGAGCCCUCCCACGCCGCCCGCUCCUCUCCCGGGGCGAAGGGCGGGGACGAGGCGCGCCGAAGCCCCGAGCUGAAGAGAAGGGUGGGGGCAUGAGGGCGCUGGAGUGAGGAACAGAUUGGAGCCUUCCCACUUCCUCUCCAAUCUCAGCCCCCGGGAGGAGGGGUGAGGCCCUCGAGGGGGCCCGGAGUUAAGGAGGAAUAGACCGUUUCUCUCUCUCCUGUCUCCCCCGCCUCUGCCCGUCUUCCCUCUAAGCCGGCCUCUAGGUGCAGAGGCUGACGUCCAGGAUGGGGACCGGGGAAGCCUCUGGAGGGUAUAUCCGGGAAGGCACCAAGGCUGAAAAAGAUGCAGUCUAGCACCUCAGUUAAGAAUAUGGACUCUAAAGUCAGACUGCCAGGCUUCAAAUUCCAGUUCUGCGACCUCAGCAAAGUUACUUAACCAAGCUCUCAGUGCCUUGUUUUCUUCAUCUGUAAAAUGAGGAUGACGUCACAGCAUUGUUGAGAGAAUUAAUACAGGCUCCAGACUUGUGAAUGGAGAAGUGUUGAGGUGACCCCAGCUCCAGCCACCAGCUGACGACAACCAUACCGGAGAUCCUGAGAGCUGCCUAGCUGACCCCAGGCACCCCCCAGACUUCAUGUAAGCUGUUUGAAGCCGAGGACUUUGUCUGUUUUGUUCACUCCCAAUAGAUUCAGCACUUAGAAGAAUGCCAGGCAGGCUUUCCCCACCAACCAAGAUGGAAUAACAGGGAAAAGACAUACCCUUCUAUCUUCAAUAAUUGGAAACCCAGACAAAGUUUAUGAAACGCUGGUUUUCAAGACAUAGGACAUCAGACAAUCAAGGACAGUAAACACUGAGAUGGGAAACAAACAAGGAAGCCAUGAAAACUUCAAAACUGCUUCACCACCUGGAGACCAAGCACCCUGCAUUAAAAGACAAGCCUUUGGAGUUUUUCUAAAGAAAAAACAUGAACACAGAGAACAGAAGUAAUUAUUGAAGGCCACUACUUCAUUAAGUGUGUCUGUACUGAGAGCAUCGUUCCUAGUGGCUAACCACGUUAUUAGGCUAAGAAGCCCUUUAGUAUUGGUGAAGAGUUGAUCCUGCCUGCUGCUAAGGACAUUUGUCAUGAACUUUUAGGAGAGGCUGCUGUUCAAAAGGUGGCACAUGUUCCUCUUUCAGCUAACACCAUAACUAGAAGAAUGGAUGAAAUAGCAGAGAAUAUUGAGGCACAAUUGUUAGAGAGGAUUAAUGAGUCACCGUGCUACACAAUCCACAAAAGGGUUUUGUCCCAGAAAUAGACUCAUACAUAUAUGAUCAGUGAUUUUCAACAGUGGUACAAAUGCAAGUCAGCGCAGAAAAAAUAAUCUCUUCAACAAAUGGUGCAGGAACAAUUGGAUAUCCAUAAAAUGAACUCGGAUCCACGCUUUGCACCAUAUGCAAAAAUUGACUCAAAAUAGGUAUAGGUCCUAGACCUAAAUGUAACAACCUGAAACUCUAAAAUUUCUCAGGAAAAAAAUGGGAUAAAAUCUUUGUGGUCUUGGAUUAGGCAAAGAUAUUUUCUUGUGUUUGUGGGUAAAGAAACCUUUAAUGAGGGUUCAAGGUGUAAGAGGAGGACCUUGUAGAGAGCCAGCGCUUAGCCCCAGCCUCCUCAUAUGCACAUGGCUCUGUAGAGGUUCUCCAGACAGUGCUGCUGCUGCUGUUUCGAGCCUUAUCUCCUCUGUGCUCCUC